rnacentral:rRNA from 1 species
GAGUUUGAUCCUGGCUCAGGAUGAACGCUAGCGGCAGGCCUAACACAUGCAAGUCGAGGGGUAACAGGAGAGCUCGCUCUCGCUGACGACCGGCGCACGGGUGAGUAACGCGUAUGCAACCUACCUUUAACAGGGGGAUAGCCCGAAGAAAUUCGGAUUAAUACCCCAUAUUACUAUGAAUAAGCACUUAUUUAUAUUAAAAACUCCGGUGGUCAAAGAUGGGCAUGCGUAACAUUAGUUAGUUGGUGAGGUAACGGCUCACCAAGACUACGAUGUUUAGGGGGCCUGAGAGGGUGGUCCCCCACACUGGUACUGAGACACGGACCAGACUCCUACGGGAGGCAGCAGUGAGGAAUAUUGCGCAAUGGAGGCAACUCUGACGCAGCCAUGCCGCGUGCAGGAUGACGGCCCUACGGGUUGUAAACUGCUUUUAUACAGGAAGAAUCUUCCGCACGUGUGCGGGAUUGACGGUACUGUACGAAUAAGCACCGGCUAACUCCGUGCCAGCAGCCGCGGUAAUACGGAGGGUGCAAGCGUUAUCCGGAUUUAUUGGGUUUAAAGGGUGCGUAGGCGGGAUAAUAAGUCAGUGGUGAAAUACUGCAGCUCAACUGUAGAACUGCCAUUGAUACUGUUAUUCUUGAGUUCGAUUGAGGUAGGCGGAAUGUGUAAUGUAGCGGUGAAAUGCUUAGAUAUUACACAGAACACCGAUUGCGUAGGCAGCUUACUAAGUCGACACUGACGCUGAGGCACGAAAGCGUGGGGAGCGAACAGGAUUAGAUACCCUGGUAGUCCACGCUGUAAACUAUGAUCACUAGCUGUUGGCGAUACAUCGAUCAGCGGCAAAGCGAAAGCAUUAAGUGAUCCACCUGGGGAGUACGGUCGCAAGAUUGAAACUCAAAGGAAUUGACGGGGGCCCGCACAAGCGGUGGAACAUGUGGUUUAAUUCGAUGAUACGCGAGGAACCUUACCUGGGCUUAAAUGCAGAUUGACGUUUCGGGAAACCGGAAUUCCCUUCGGGGCGAUUUGCAAGGUGCUGCAUGGUUGUCGUCAGCUCGUGCCGUGAGGUGUCGGGUUAAGUCCCAUAACGAGCGCAACCCCUAUUGUUAGUUGCCAGCGGAUAAUGCCGGGGACUCUAACGAAACUGCCGGUGUAAACCGAGAGGAAGGUGGGGAUGACGUCAAAUCAGCACGGCCCUUAUGUCCAGGGCUACACACGUGUUACAAUGGUCGGUACAGAGGGCAGCUACCUGGUGACAGGAUGCUAAUCUCGAAAGCCGGUCUUAGUUCGGAUCGAAGUCUGCAACUCGACUUCGUGAAGCUGGAAUCGCUAGUAAUCGCGGAUCAGAAUGCCGCGGUGAAUACGUUCCCGGGCCUUGUACACACCGCCCGUCACACCAUGGGAGUGGGUUGCACCAGAAGUAGUUAGCCUAACCUUCGGGAGGCAGCCGUCUAUGGUAUGCUCGGUAAC